rnacentral:misc_RNA from 1 species
AACUUUUGACAAUGGAUCUCUUGGUUCUCGCAUCUAUGAAGAACGCAGCGAAAUGCGAUAAGUAAUGUGAAUUGCAGAAUUCAGUGAAUCAUCGAAUCUUUGAACGCACCUUGCGCUCUUUGGUAUUCCGAAGAGCAUGCCUGUUUGAGUGUCAUUAAAUCUUCAAAUUGUUUGAUUUUAUUAUUGAGCACAUUUGGAUGUGGAAGUGUUGUUGGCCUCGGUCAGCUCUUCUAAAAUGCAUUAGCCGGAAGCUUUUGUAACCGUCUAUUGGUGUGAUAAUUAUCUAUACCGUUGACAGCUACACUAUGUAUAAGCGUUCUGCUCCCAACUGUCUGUGUAUGCGGACAAUAUUUGACAAUUUGACCUCAAAUCAGGUAGGACUACCCGCUGAACUUAAGCAUAUCAAUAAGCGGAGGCU